CCCCUUUGGGGGUACUCGAGUGGCGAACGGGUGAGUAACACGUGGGUGAUCUGCCUUGCACUCUGGGAUAAGCUUGGGAAACUGGGUCUAAUACCGGAUAGGAACCGUCUUUAGUGUGGUGGUUGGAAAGUUUUUUCGGUGUGGGAUGAGCUCGCGGCCUAUCAGCUUGUUGGUGGGGUAAUGGCCUACCAAGGCGUCGACGGGUAGCCGGCCUGAGAGGGUGUACGGCCACAUUGGGACUGAGAUACGGCCCAG
rnacentral:rRNA from 1 species